AGGGUUUGAUCAUGGCUCAGAACGUACGCUGGCGGCACGCCUAACACAUGCAAGUCGAACGAAGUAGCAAUACUUAGUGGCAGACGGGUGAGUAACAUGUAGGUAUCUGCCCUUUGGCCUGGAAUAACACGAGGAAACUUGUGCUAAUACCGGAUAAGUCUUUACGGAGAAAGCUUUAUGCACCAUUGGAUGAGCCUGCACUUGAUUAGUUUGUUGGUGGGGUAAUGGCCUACCAAGACUGUGAUCAAUAGCUGAUUUGAGAGGAUGAUCAGCCACAUUGGGACUGAGACACGGCCCAAACUCCUACGGGAGGCAGCAGUGGGGAAUCUUGCACAAUGGAGGAAACUCUGAUGCAGCGAUGCCGCGUGAGUGAAGAAGGCCCUUGGGUUGUAAAGCUCUUUCGUCGGGGAAGAAAAUGACUGUACCCGAAUAAGAAGGUCCGGCUAACUUCGUGCCAGCAGCCGCGGUAAUACGAAGGGACCUAGCGUAGUUCGGAAUUACUGGGCUUAAAGAGUUCGUAGGUGGUUGAAAAAGUUAGUGGUGAAAUCCCAGAGCUUAACUCUGGAACUGCCAUUAAAACUUUUCAGCUAGAGUAUGAUAGAGGAAAGCAGAAUUUCUAGUGUAGAGGUGAAAUUCGUAGAUAUUAGAAAGAAUACCAAUUGCGAAGGCAGCUUUCUGGAUCAUUACUGACACUGAGGAACGAAAGCAUGGGUAGCGAAGAGGAUUAGAUACCCUCGUAGUCCAUGCCGUAAACGAUGUGUGUUAGACGUUGGAAAUUUAUUUUCAGUGUCGCAGGGAAACCGAUAAACACACCGCCUGGGGAGUACGACCGCAAGGUUAAAACUCAAAUGAAUUGACGGGGACCCGCACAAGUAGUGGAGCAUGUGGUUUAAUUCGAAGAUACGCGCAGAACCUUACCAACACUUGACAUGUUCGUCGCGACUCUAAGAGAUUAGAGUUUUCGGUUCGGCCGGACGAAACACAGGUGCUGCAUGGCUGUCGUCAGCUCGUGUCGUGAGAUGUUGGGUUAAGUCCCGCAACGAGCGCAACCCUCACUUUUAGUUGCCAUCAUUAAGUUGGGCACUCUGAAAGAACUGCCAGUGAUAAGCUGGAGGAAGGUGGGGAUGACGUCAAGUCCUCAUGGCCCUUACGUGUUGGGCUACACACGUGCUACAAUGGUAUCUACAACAGGAAGCAAGACUGCGAAGUUAAGCAAAUCCCUAAAAGAUACCUCAGUUCGGAUUGCACUCUGCAACUCGAGUGCAUGAAGCUGGAAUUACUAGUAAUCGUGGAUCAGCGUGCCACGGUGAAUGCGUUCCCGGGUCUUGUACACACCGCCCGUCACACCAUGGGAGUUGGUUCUACCUUAAGGCAAGGUUUUAAACCCUUGACCACGGUAUAGUCAGCGACUGGGGUGAAGUCGUAACAAGGUAGCC
rnacentral:rRNA from 2 species